ACAAAAAGAUCACUAUAUGAUGCGCCUACGUUUUGAGCUGGGGAAGACAGGUGAAAGUCCUGCGCUGCCCCCGCAACGGUAAAGGAUCGCGGCAAAAGCCGUAUCUGAGCCCGGUUACCAGCUCACAACGCUUUGGAGUUU
rnacentral:ncRNA from 1 species